rnacentral:rRNA from 1 species
UAAUACGUAGGGGGCAAGCGUUGUCCGGAAUCAUUGGGCGUAAAGAGCGUGUAGGCGGUCCGAUUAGUCGGCUGUGAAAGUCCAGGGCUCAACCCUGGGAUGCCGGUCGAUACUGUCGGACUAGAGUCCGGAAGAGGCAAGUGGAAUUCCCGGUGUAGCGGUGAAAUGCGCAGAUAUCGGGAGGAACACCAAUGGCGAAGGCAGCUUGCUGGGACGGUACUGACGCUGAGACGCGAAAGCGUGGGGAGCAAACAGGAUUAGAUACCCUGGUAGUCCACGCCGUAAACGAUGGGCACUAGGUGUGGGAGGUGUCGACUCCUCCCGUGCCGGAGCUAACGCAUUAAGCAUUCCGCCUGGGGAGUACGGUCGCAAGGCUG